rnacentral:rRNA from 1 species
UACAGAGACUGCAAGCGUUAUUCGGAUUCACUGGGCGUAAAGGGUGCGCAGGCGGUCGGGUGUGUCAGAUGUGAAAUCCCGAGGCUCAACCUCGGAACUGCGUCUGAAACUACUCGACUAGAGUACUGGAGAGGGUAACGGAAUUCACGGUGUAGCAGUGAAAUGCGUAGAUAUCGUGAGGAACACCAGAGGCGAAGGCGUACCUUG